rnacentral:lncRNA from 1 species
AUAGAUAAAGCAUAGAUUUAACAAGAAUAAAGCUAAAUAAAUUUAUAACUAAGUUAUACGUGAUCCAAUAGGUACAAAAUUUUUAUUCUACUUCAACCCGACAAUAAUUAGCUCACCAAAAAAAGUUCAUCGUAAUUGGACCAUAGAAAUUACAUAUAUGAUUUAUUCUAAUUAAUUACAAAAAAUAUAGAUCUAAAGCUAUUGCAAAAACUUUGUAUUAAAGCAUACAAUAUAAUAUGUUCACUGUGUAGAUCUACUUAUGUGGAGUCCAACAAGAUUAGAUUUUCCAUUAUAUGAUUUAUUAUGAUUUUUCAAAUAUUUAAUAAAAAUAAGUAAAAAAGAAAAAAACAAAACCACCCUUCAAACCCACUCGAGGGGGUUAUUUGACUGGUUUUGAAAAGUUCAGGGGCUAGAAUAUCCGGUUUUAUAGUUCGGGGGAUGAAGUAAUCCACCCUAGAUAAAUUGGGAGGUUAUGUAGACUUUUUCCAAGUAAUAUAUAAGUUAAGUUAUUAUCUUCUAGAACAUGAAAAUUGCUCUGAAUUGAUUUCAUUAUUAGACCAUAUUUUAUUUCACGUCCUUCGCUGGACCCAAAAUCUCUAGAGCCCACCAAAACUAUUUUACAAAUUCAUUCUUUGAGAACAAUAAUUUCAUCAAUAGAAAAAAAUCAAAAAAUAAUUUCAUCAAGAGAUGAACUGGAGGCAAGGAUGGUUGUGGAAUCUUUGUGGGACUUUGCGGGACUAACGGCCUUUUUUAACCCCCU